rnacentral:rRNA from 1 species
UACGUAGGGUGCAAGCGUUAAUCGGAAUUAUUGGGCGUAAAGGGUGCGUAGGCGGCAUAAUAAGGUAUUGGCGGGAAAUCGAGGCUCAACCUCGUGGAAACUGAUAAUACUGUUUUGCUUGAGUACAGGAGAGGUUAACGGAACUCCAUGUGGAGCGGUAAAAUGUGUAGAUAUAUGGAAGAACAUCAAUAACGGCGAAGGCAGUUAACUAUUCUGUUACUGACGUUGAGGCACGAAAGCGUGGGGAGCAAAAAGG